rnacentral:rRNA from 1 species
GUGGGGAAUAUUGGACAAUGGGGGGAACCCUGAUCCAGCCAUGCCGCGUGUGUGAAGAAGGCCUUUUGGUUGUAAAGCACUUUAAGCGAGGAGGAGGCUACCGAGAUUAAUACUCUUGGAUAGUGGACGUUACUCGCAGAAUAAGAACCGGCUAAUUCUGUGCCAGCAGCCGCGGAAAUACAGAGGGUGCAAGCGUUAAUCGGAUUUACUGGGCGUAAAGCGCGCGUAGGUGGACAAUUAAGUCAAAUGUGAAAUCCCCGAGCUUAACUUGUGAAUUGCAUUCGAUACUGGUUGGCUAGAGUAUGGGAGAGGAUGGUAGAAUUCCAGGUGUAGCGGUGAAAUGCGUAGAGAUCUGGAGGAAUACCGAUGGCGAAGGCAGCCAUCUGGCCUAAUACUGACACUGAGGUGCGGAAGCAUGGGGAGCAAACAGGAUUAGAUACCCUAGUAGUCC